GUAAAAUUAGAAAUACUGUGUUAAUUACACAGUUUUUAAAAGAUUUAAGAAGAUAAAUAUUAGAAUAAAAAUUUGUGGGGGUGGGGAAAAAAGAGCUAACUUUUGAAAUGUUAACUACAGACCCAGCGCAAGAGUUCCUGGGACCUCAGCUUCAUCCUCUCACAGAAAGCUCUCCAUCUGUGGAACAUGCUUUCCCUGGGAGUCAGCAAGCUCUCUGGGAGCUUGUGUUGAAGGAAACAGAAAGAAUGACUUACUAG
rnacentral:lncRNA from 1 species